rnacentral:misc_RNA from 1 species
CGCCGUUUUGAGUCAUUUGAUUGAAAAUUAUUCAUUAUAAAAUGAAUGAAUUUUUUUGAUUCAUAAUGGCCAAUUCGAAAGGUUUAUUCAGGUUCGAAGCAUUGCGGUAAAUAUCUAAUUCAUCGUAACUAAUCUUAAGAGGAUCAGUUGAGGAACGUGUAAUUCCGUUUUCUGUCGGGGAAUUUCGGAGGUGGAUACUUUUUCUUCGACCCAACGCCAGUACGGCGACAGCAACCGGAGCGGCGACAUCGGUGGUACGCACUUAUCCUCUGUGAAGAGAAGGGAGAAAAACAAGUUGAGGUGAGGAUUAGUACGCAGUUUCUUAUACUGUGCUAUUGCGCUACAGUUCUAUGUUUGGUAGAAGUUUCUCCGAACGCGUACAGUAGAUGGGCAGACUUAUAUCAUUCGAUAUUUCAUGAAUUUCGUGAUACGAAAAUUUUUGCACAAGCAGUAACGAGUAAUAUUUCUAUUAUCCUGGUCCUCUAUUCGACUCGUAGAAUUUUGGUCGAAGGUGCAUACCAAGGUACUCGACGGUCAUCAGAGUUGCCUAGUUCUUCGCAGUAGCUAUUGUUCAACUUGCGGAAAGUAUGCGUUGUGCUGAAGUUACAUCGGGCAUCGAAAGACUCGUAUGAAGGCUCUCAAUUUGUCGUCACAGUGCCUUGAUCAUCGCAGUACCUAUUCAACUUCCAACCACGAAGGGCAGGACUUCCAUGGCAUCGCACAAUUCGUUUACAG